rnacentral:miRNA from 8 species
AGCUGGUUGAAACUGGGUCAAAU